GGGAUGAACGCUGGCGGCGUGCCUAAUACAUGCAAGUCGAGCGAACUGAUUAGAAGCUUGCUUCUAUGACGUUAGCGGCGGACGGGUGAGUAACACGUGGGCAACCUGCCUGUAAGACUGGGAUAACUUCGGGAAACCGAAGCUAAUACCGGAUAGGAUCUUCUCCUUCAUGGGAGAUGAUUGAAAGAUGGUUUCGGCUAUCACUUACAGAUGGGCCCGCGGUGCAUUAGCUAGUUGGUGAGGUAACGGCUCACCAAGGCAACGAUGCAUAGCCGACCUGAGAGGGUGAUCGGCCACACUGGGACUGAGACACGGCCCAGACUCCUACGGGAGGCAGCAGUAGGGAAUCUUCCGCAAUGGACGAAAGUCUGACGGAGCAACGCCGCGUGAGUGAUGAAGGCUUUCGGGUCGUAAAACUCUGUUGUUAGGGAAGAACAAGUACGAGAG
rnacentral:rRNA from 1 species